rnacentral:lncRNA from 1 species
CAGUAGUCUGUUUAUAUGUCAACUAUGAAGUUUGUCUUUUUGUAAGGAUUCAAGAUUUAGAAUAAAAUAUACUGCUUUGAUUCUUGUUUAUUGUGUACAAUCUGCAUGCCCAUUACGGUUUUAAUGUUCCUGCCCUAAAUCGGAAGACCCAAUUCAGAUGUACGUCUUAUCAUCUUGAGAGAUUCAGCACAGGUAUUUUCUACUGUUGAAACUGCGUGUGGCCGCAAGCUUACUAUGUGUGUAUAUACUUUGAUGUAUAUGCUUAAAAAAUAAAGUUACUUGAAAACAUGUUUCAUAAUAAGUAUUAAGUUCCUAAAUCUUUUUCACCUAAACAUCUGUUACCAGCAGCAAAGUGGGCAAUAUCAGUGUUAUUGGUAAGAAGGCUGAAUGAUAUUUAUAACCUUUUAAGUUUAGUGUGAAAAGCUAUUAGGUUUAUCAUAGACUUUCUGAAUGUGCUUCUUCGGUGCCAGUUAUUGGAAGGCUUAGAGUUCUGACUUCCAAAGCAGUAGAAUUUUCAUCUGCUUUAUGCGAACAGGAUUGGUAAGCGGUUAUCCUUAUAAUUGACUGCUCUGAAAAUCCGGUCAAAAACUUCACAGAGUUCUUGGCUCCUGGUUGUGAUUGCCACACAUCCUGACUUCCACCCUAAUCCCACUUUCCACCAGCUUCUCUGCAUUCUAACACCAUAGCAAAAAAGACAAAAGAAAAAGAUCGUUUAAUAUUUAUG